rnacentral:rRNA from 1 species
CAGUCGCCGCGGGAAUACGUAGGGUGCGAGCGUUAAUCGGAAUUACUGGGCGUAAAGCGUGCGCAGGCGGUUAUAUAAGACAGAUGUGAAAUCCCCGGGCUCAACCUGGGACCUGCAUUCGUGACUGUAUAGCUAGAGUACGGUAGAGGGGGAUGGAAUUCCGCGUGUAGCAGUGAAAUGCGUAGAUAUGCGGAGGAACACCGAUGGCGAAGGCAAUCCCCUGGACCUGUACUGACGCUCAUGCACGAAAGCGUGGGGAGCAAACAGGAUUAGAUACCCCGGUAGUCCCUGUCUCUUAUAC